UGGGGGAUAACGUAGCGAAAGUUACGCUAAUACCGCAUACGCACUAAGGUGAAAGUGGGGGAUCUUCGGACCUCAUGCUCAUGGAGUGGCCGAUAUCUGAUUAGCUAGUUGGUGAGGUAAAGGCUCACCAAGGCGACGAUCAGUAGCUGGUUUGAGAGAACGACCAGCCACACUGGAACUGAGACACGGUCCAGACUCCGUACGGGGAGGCAGCAGGUGGGGUAAUUUUGGACAAUGGGGGCAACCCUGAUCCAGCAAUGCCGCGUGAGUGAAGAAGGCCUUCGGGUUGUAAAGCUCUUUUGUCAGGGAAGAAACGGUGAGUUCUAAUAAAGCUUGCUAAUGACGGUACCUGAAGAAUAAGCACCGGCUAACUACGUG
rnacentral:rRNA from 1 species